rnacentral:rRNA from 1 species
CCUACGGGGGGCAGCAGUGGGGAAUAUUGCACAAUGGGCGGAAGCCUGAUGCAGCAACGCCGCGUGCGGGAUGAAGGCCUUCGGGUUGUAAACCGCUUUCAGCUAUGACGAAUGUGACGGUAGUAGCAGAAGAAGCACCGGCUAACUACGUGCCAGCAGCCGCGGUGAUACGUAGGGUGCGAGCGUUGUCCGGAUUUAUUGGGCGUAAAGAGCUCGUAGGUGGUUGUUUGCGUCGGAAGUGAAAACCUAGCGCUUAACGGUGGGCUUGCUUUCGAUACGGGAUGACUUGAGGGAGGUAGGGGAGAACGGAAUUCCUGGUGGAGCGGUGGAAUGCGCAGAUAUCAGGAGGAACACCGGUGGCGAAGGCGGUUCUCUGGACCUUUCCUGACGCUGAGGAGCGAAAGCGUGGGGAGCAAACAGGAUUAGAUACCCUGGUAGUC